rnacentral:rRNA from 1 species
GCAUGAAGUUGGAAUCGCUAGUAAUCGCGGAUCAGCAUGCCGCGGUGAAUACGUUCCCGGGCCUUGUACACACCGCCCGUCACACCAUGAGAGUCGGGAACACCCGAAGCCUGUAGUCUAACAGCAAUGAGGACGCAGUCGAAGGUGGGAUUGAUAAUUAGGGUGAAGUCGUAACAAGGUACC